UCAUUUGUUUGCAUCCUCCUUUGUAUAAUUUGUUCACAUCCAGGAGUUGUUUUGAUUGUUGAUAUCCUGUGAUAUUGAGUAUGUUCGUAUUUGAUAAUUUGAUAUCAUUCGGAGAUGGUCAUUUAAGCCUUGUGAUUUGAACCCCUUUUGGCUUACAUUUUAUAGUUUGAUCCUUAGGGUAUACUUGAGCUAACCACCUGUGGGGGUACCACAUGCAUGUCCUCUUGACACAAGGGAAUGACACCUUCCGUGGCGGUGUGAUUAG
rnacentral:lncRNA from 1 species